rnacentral:rRNA from 1 species
UGCCGAUGGUAGUGUGGGGUCUCCCCAUGUGAGAGUAGGACACCGCCGGAU